AGCAGCCGCGGUAAUUCCAGCUCCAAUAACGUAUAUUAAAGUUGUUGCAGUUAAAAAGCUCGUAGUUGAAUUUCGGGGUUAGUAGGUUGGUCAUGCCUCUGGUAUGUACUGGUCUCACUGAUUCCUCCUUCCUGAUGAACCGUAAUGCCAUUAAUUUGGUGUUGCAGGGAAACAGGACUGUUACUUUGAAAAAAUUAGAGUGUUUAAAGCAGGCUAACGCUUGAAUACAUUAGCAUGGAAUAAUGAAAUAGGACGUUCGAUCCUAUUUUGUUGGUUUCUAGGAUUGACGUAAUGAUUAAUAGGGAUAGUUGGGGGCAUUAGUAUUCAAUUGUCAGAGGUGAAAUUCUUGGAUUUAUUGAAGACUAACUACUGCGAAAGCAUUUGCCAAGGAUGUUUUCAUUAAUCAAGAACGAAAGUUAGGGGAUCGAAGACGAUCAGAUACCGUCGUAGUCUUAACCAUAAACUAUGCCGACUAGGGAUCGGAUGAUGUUAAUUUUUUAAUGACUCGUUCGGCGCCUUA
rnacentral:sRNA from 1 species